GGUGAUGGUAGCGUCUAUGAAACACUGAGAGGCUCUGAAGAUGCUGAACAGGCAAUGGUUGAGUCUAUGAAACAAUGAGAAGCUGUGAAGACACUGCUGCAGGUUUACGUCUUAGCCACAUGAUGGCGCCCUGUGUUUUUCCUCUGAGUCUCCCUCUGUUCACUGCGCUCUAAUUCCACUGCAUAUAUAGAUGGAAUUCAUCUGUGUCCAUGUUUAAUGUUUAACAAAGCAAAUUUAGCUUUGUGGAUUAACUUCAUCAGUUAUUUCUCCUUCCUUUGGGCAAGCAGGGUUUUACAUCACACUUUGUUAUAGAUUUGAACAUGAUUACAACCAUGUGUGUUAUCUUUUAUUUAUUGGUCUGAUUCCUGGCUGGUUUGGGUCCUCACUGCAAGU